rnacentral:rRNA from 1 species
UACAGAGGGGGCAAGCGUUAUUCGGAAUUAUUGGGCGUAAAGAGCGUGUAGGCGGCCAGGUAGGUCAGCUGUGAAAACUCGAGGCUUAACCUCGAGACGCCAGCUGAAACCCUCUGGCUAGAGUCCGGAAGAGGAGAGCGGAAUUCCUGGUGUAGCGGUGAAAUGCGCAGAUAUCAGGAAGAACACCUAUGGCGAAGGCAGCUCGCUGGGACGUUACUGACGCUGAGACGCGAAAGCGUGGGGAGCAAACAGG